UUGAUACUUCAACCUCAAAGCAGGUGUCUACAUCUGCC
rnacentral:rRNA from 1 species